rnacentral:rRNA from 1 species
AGGGCAAGUCUGGUGCCAGCAGCCGCGGUAAUUCCAGCUCCAAUAGCGUAUAUUAAAGUUGUUGCAGUUAAAAAGCUCGUAGUUGAAUUUCGGGGUUAGUAGGUUGGUCGUGCCUCAGGUAUGUACUGAUCUCACUGAUUCCUCCUUCCUGAUGAACCGUAAUGCCAUUAACUUGGUGUUGCGGGGAAACUGGACUGUUACUUUGAAAAAAUUAGAGUGUUUAAAGCAGGCUAACGCUUGAAUACAUUAGCAUGGAAUAAUGAAAUAGGACGUUCGAUCCUAUUUUGUUGGUUUCUAGGAUUGACGUAAUGAUUAAUAGGGAUAGUUGGGGGCAUUAGUAUUCAAUUGUCAGAGGUGAAAUUCUUGGAUUUAUUGAAGACUAACUACUGCGAAAGCAUUUGCCAAGGAUGUUUUCAUUAAUCAAGAACGAAAGUUAGGGGAUCGAAGACGAUCAGAUACCGUCGUAGUCUUAACCAUAAACUAUGCCGACUAGGGAUCGGAUGAUGUUAAUUUUUUAAUGACUCAUUCGGCGCCUUACGGGAA